rnacentral:rRNA from 1 species
AACGUAGGAGACAAACGUUAUCCGGAGUUACUGGGCGUAAAGGGCGUGUAGGCGGCAUGUUAAGUCUGGCGUGAAAGCUCUCGGCUAAACCGGGAGAGGUCGUUGGAUACUGGCAAACUAGAGGAUGGUAGAGGCGUGUGGAAUUCCGGGUGUAGUGGUGAAAUGCGUAGAGAUCCGGAGGAACACCAGUGGCGAAGGCGACACGCUGGGCCAUACCUGACGCUAAAGCGCGACAGCAUGGGGAGCAAACGGG